GAUCCUGACUCAGGAUGAACGCUAGCUACAGGCUUAACACAUGCAAGUCGAGGGGCAGCAUGAACUUAGCUUGCUAAGUUUGAUGGCGACCGGCGCACGGGUGAGUAACACGUAUCCAACCUGCCGAUGACUCGGGGAUAGCCUUUCGAAAGAAAGAUUAAUACCCGAUGGCAUAGUUCUUCCGCAUGGUAGAACUAUUAAAGAAUUUUGGUUACAGACGAGCAUGCGCUCCAUUAG
rnacentral:rRNA from 1 species